rnacentral:lncRNA from 10 species
GCUUCCCCCUUCACUCAGCUCUCAUUCUUCUCCUUCCUGCCACCAUGUGAAGAGGGAUGUGUUUGCUUUCACUUCUACCAUGACUGUCAUUGGGUCAAGGUUUUGGCCAGAGAAUAGCAAGGAUGACUUAUCUCUGCUCCACUAUGUCUGGAACCUCUUGGAAUCAUUUGGAGUCUUCUUCACUCUCUUGCCUGGCACCUGGACUGGGAAAACUUGGAACCCACUGGGACUGUUGACCAAAGCACAAACAUGUGGCCUCUUCAUGUGGCUUGGGCUUUCCACAGCAUGGAGGCUGAUUUCUGAGGAGAGGCCCAAAAAUAAUAUACACAAACUACAUAUAAUUUUGACUCCUCAACCAAGAUGAAUCCAGUGCUCUAUCCUGGUUAAAUUAUCUCAGGCGUUCCCAGGAGAGAAGCAGAUGGAAUUUUGAGAGAGAAAAGGAGGAGGUAAAAUGAAGACAGGCAGAGAUGGGAGUGGUGCAGCCAAGAGCCAAGCAACACCUGGCGCCACCAGCAGCUGGAAGAGGAAAAGAAGAGAUUUAUCUCCAGAGUCUUAGGAGGAAGCACAGCAGUGCUUUAAUUUUGGACUUCUGGCUUCCACAAUAAGAAGAGAAUAAAUCGAUGUUGCCUUAGUCCAUCCAGUUUAUGGUAAUUUGUUACAGCACUCUAGGAAACUAAUACAACAAACAAGGCCUGACUGAACAGAGUGGAAAGUUAGCAGAGAGGAAGGAGAGGUGAGACCCUUCUCUUGGCCUAGUGAGAUCUGUUCCCUUAUUGUAGAAGAAAUGUGGGACUCUCUUCUUUUGUGACAUAUGACAAAGUUUUGGCAGGUGGGAAGGAGUGGAGGGCUUUUCAACCUUUUGGGCUAGAUUUCAUCAGUGAUUCCAUGGCAAAGGCUAAAUGUGUUUCAGCACUAUGUUUAAAGUCUGCUGGUUUUACACAUUCAAAUUCUACCCCAACUCAUAUUUCCUGCCUGCUUCUAUCUGUAUUCUCCAGACACAGCAUCAUCUCUCACAUUCUGAAAUAAAAGUGA